rnacentral:tRNA from 1 species
GAAGGUAUAGCUCAGUUGUAGAGCGCAUGCUUAGCAUGCACAAGGUCCUAGGUUCAAUCCCCAGUACCUCUA